rnacentral:tRNA from 1 species
GGAGGAGUAAUCAAGCCUGGCCAAAGAUGCAGGACUUAAGAUCAAAUAAUGGGUGAUCCUGUCUUUCAGGAGUUCGCGGGUUCAAAUCCCGCCUCCUCCA